rnacentral:sRNA from 1 species
CAAAAAGACCGCGAAACCGUUAGGAGGGAAACGAAUGCGGCUGAAGUGGCUCCCCGUCAGGCUCAGGAGGCGUCGUCGGGUCUCGCGGGUGGCGGUUGAUUCCGCGCCCGAGAGGCGCCCGUCGACCUCUCUGCACUUCUGCGGGGGGCCGGCCAACGUCAGUUGCUCCCGGCCCAGAAGGGCGUCGCGGGAAGGUGGCUCCGUGCGCACGCGCGGAGAGCUUAUAGCCCGGCGUCAACCUUGGCGCUCCGGGAGCGACUGAGGAGAGCUGCGAGUUCUUUCGCACGUUGCGGCGCAGGCCCCUCGGGGCUGGGCCGCUCUCCGUCGGGAAGGGACCGAGGCCUUCACUGCGUGCAGUGGGGGCUUACGGCGCUCUCUCCUGCGGGGAGGUCGGUCGCACCUUGCGUCGCGGUCGUUGGUGCCCGGAUGGCCGCAUCCG